rnacentral:ncRNA from 1 species
CCAAAGUCGACGCUCAUCAGACCCCACAAAAGGUGUUGGUUGCUCUAGACAGCAGGACGGUGGCCAUGGAAGUUGGAAUCCGCUAAGGAGUGUGUAACAACUCACCUGCCGAAGCAACUAGCCCUGAAAAUGGAUGGCGCUCAAGCGUCGCACCUAUACCGUGCCGUCGGAGCAGAUGCGAAGCUCCGACGAGUAGGAGGGCGUGGGGGUCGUGACGCGGCCUCUGGCGCGAGCCUGGGUGAAACGGCCUCCAGUGCAGAUCUUGGUGGUAGUAGCAAAUAUUCAAAUGAGAGCUUUGAAGACCGAAGUGGAGAAAGGUUCCAUGUGAACAGCAGUUGGACAUGGGUUAGUCGAUCCUAAGAGAUAGGGAAAUUCCGUUUGCAAGCGCCCGAUCUUGGGCCGCCUAUCGAAAGGGAAUCGGGUUAAUAUUCCCGAACCGGGACGCGGAUAUUGCCGUUCGCGGCAGAUGCGGUAACGCAAACGAACCCGAAGACGCUGGCGGGGGCCCUGGGAAGAGUUCUCUUUUCUUUUUAACGAGCUUUCACCCUGAAAUCAGCUUGCCUGGAGAUAGGGUUUAAUGCUCGGUAAAGCACCACACUUCUUGUGGUGUCCGGUGCGCUCUCGACGGCCCUUGAAAAUUCGGGGAAGACAUUGAUUUUCGUGUCCGGUCGUACUCAUAACCGCAGCAGGUCUCCAAGGUGAGCAGCCUCUGGUUGAUAGAACAAUGUAGGUAAGGGAAGUCGGCAAAAUAGAUCAAAAGUACUUUGAAAAGAGAGUUAAAAAGUACGUGAAACCGUUAUAAGGGAAACGAAUGGGUCAGCAAUGCGUCGUGCGAGAUCAG